ensembl:snRNA U2 U2 spliceosomal RNA
AUCGCUUCUCAGCCUUUUGGCUGAGAUCGAGUGUAGUAUCUGUUCUUACCAGUUUAAUAUAAAGUAUUUUAUUGUUCCUUUUGUGAUCUUAUUUAGAUAACAUUUGUUCACAUUUGGGGGAAGAAAAAAAGGAAAUCCCCAAACAUUA